UUGCCCACUUUAAGAUGUCCUGUUCUUUAAGUGGCCAACAUAAAGGGGUAUAAUAAAGCUCUCUAAAACUCAAAGUAAAAAAAAAACAAGUGUUUGCUUUGAAUCCUGUCUGGAGCAACACAG